rnacentral:lncRNA from 1 species
UCGGACGUGACGAGGUUUUCCUUGUCUCUUGCUUCAUUGAUUUUUGUGCAUAUAUGACGGAUUCGUCGAAGUUCGUGUGGUUUUACGGUAGUGUGUCUCUCUAUUCUCCAUCGUCCGUUUAAGUAUCUGGUACAGUGGACCUAUAGAAAGGUUCCAUAAUCUGGUGUCUCAUUGGAGUUGACAGAUAGCGCUUGAUGCUCGAGGAAUGUGGUGAGGCUUCCGAAGACUCUGCAAGUCAGUCAUCAGAAUUAGGGGCUGAAUUAAGGGCUCGUACCGACAGUUAUGGAUGUUUCCAUGAUGAGAGAUCUCUCUUGAGGAUGACGAUUCCCCGAU